rnacentral:rRNA from 1 species
GGGAGGCAGCAGUGGGGAAUUUUGGACAAUGGGNGAAAGCNUGAUCCAGCAAUGCCGCGUGAGUGAAGAAGGCCUUCGGGUUGUAAAGCUNUUUUGUCAGGGAAGAAACGGUGAGAUUUAAUAUGUUUUGCUAAUGGCGGUACUUGAAGAAUAAGCACCGGCUAAUUACGUCCCAGCAGCCGCGGUAAUACGUAGGGUGCAAGCGUUAAUCGGAAUUAUUGGGCGUAAAGCGUGCGCAGGCGGUUUUGUAAGUAUGAUGUGAAAUCCCCGGGCUGAACCUGGGAAUUGCAUUGGAGACUGCAAGGCUAGAAUCUGGCAGAGGGGGGGAGAAUUCCACGUGUAGCAGUGAAAUGCGUAGAUAUGUGGAGGAACACCGAUGGCGAGGGCAGCCCCCUGGGGCAAGAUUGACGCUCAUGCGC